AUUGAACGCUGGCGGCAUGCUUUACACAUGCAAGUCGAACGGCAGCGCGGGGCAACCUGGCGGCGAGUGGCGAACGGGUGAGUAAUAUAUCGGAACGUACCCAAGAGUGGGGGAGUAACGUAGCGAAGUUAACGCUAAUACCGCAUACGAUCUAAGGAUGAAAGACAGGGGACCGGCAAGGCCUUGUGCUCCUGGAGCGGCCGAUAUCUGAUUA
rnacentral:rRNA from 1 species